UACGUAGGGUGCGAGCGUUGUCCGGAAUUAUUGGGCGUAAAGAGCUCGUAGGCGGUUUGUCACGUCUGCUGUGAAAUCCCGAGGCUCAACCUCGGGCCUGCAGUGGGUACGGGCAGACUGGAGUGCGGUAGGGGAGAAUGGAAUUCCAGGUGUAGCGGUGAAAUGCGUAGAUAUCAGGAGGAACACCGGUGGCGAAGGCGGGUCUCUGGGCCGUAACUGACGCUGAGGAGCGAAAGCGUGGGGAGCGAACAGG
rnacentral:rRNA from 1 species